rnacentral:rRNA from 1 species
UACGAAGGGGGCUAGCGUUGUUCGGAUUUACUGGGCGUAAAGCGCACGUAGGCGGAUCGUUAAGUCGGGGGUGAAAUCCUGGAGCUCAACUCCAGAACUGCCUUCGAUACUGGCGAUCUUGAGUCCGGAAGAGGUGAGUGGAACUCCUAGUGUAGAGGUGGAAUUCGUAGAUAUUAGGAAGAACACCAGUGGCGAAGGCGGCCCACUGGCCCGAUACUGACGCUGAGGCACGAAAGCGUGGGGAGCAAACAGG